UACACAGAAUUUGAAAUAUCCCUCUCUCCUAUUUUUUUUGGGUUUUACUUAGGGGAUGGGAGUCAUGGGACACAACUACUGCUAUUAUAUAAACCCUAAGAAUCACAAAAGUGUGAUCUCUCUAGGGUUUUGAUCAGGGCUUUUUCAAUAAAGUGGGUUCACUCUCUUUUUUCUAAGUUUAGGGUUUUUGAUGGGGUUAUGAGUGGUAAUGAUCUGAUCAUAUGGGGUGUUUGCAGAUUUCUUUGUGAGAAGUGGGGUUUGUGAAGAUUCAACAGUGAAGUUUCUCCCUAAAUCUAAGUGGGGUUUUCAACAGAAACACAAGCUGUUGAUCUGAGCUUGAAAAGAAGCUUUCAUCAUCCUCUCCAAUGGCUCAAAGGAGGAGAACAAGGAGACCAAGAAGAACCCAGUACAGCAGACCUCCUGUACAGUCCAGUGACCCACAGUCUUCAAUGGAUCAUGCAGCAGAUGAUAAUCCAUCCAAUACUCCGGCUGUAGAAUUGGAGAGUGUGGACAUCUCAAACAAUGGCUUCUCCACCCCUAAGGCUCAGAGGUUUCGCAUACCAGAGAUACUAACAUGCCCACCUGCACCCAAGAAGAGAAGGCCAAACUACUCACUAAGAAGGUCUCCUAUUGCUUUCUUUGCUCCACCAGACUUAGAGCUUUUCUUCUUCUUUGCUCUGGGAGAUGUCUCAGUUUGAAGCAGUACUACUGGUGUGUUCAUAGAGUAUAUAUUUAUAAAAUAUAUAUAUAUAUAUAAAGAUCAUUGAUCCUUUAGACACGAUGAUCUUUAUAUAAUGCUCUCUCUUUCUCUCCUUCUCUCAUUUUGUUUCUUUUGUUCUUCAAUUGAUCAUUGAAGUAUAGUGUGAGAAUUGAGUGGUCUUAGAGGAAGAAGUUGCUAGCUUUCUCCUUCUCUUCUUUUGCUAAUUUUAGUUGGGUUUUUUUUUUUUUUUAAUUAUUAUUAUGUUCAGGGUAUAUACUAAUAUUAGCUAAGUUCUUAGCCCUUUUUCCUUUUUCUUGGAUGGAUCCUGACUCCUGGUGUUUGGAGAGUCCACAAUGUAGUUGGUGGAUUUGAGCUUGUGUGGGUGUGGCUUUUAGCUUGUGUUUUUCAAGUCAAAUUUGAGGAAGUAAAGAAAGCACAUAGACUUCUUUUUUGUGUGUCA